rnacentral:tRNA from 1 species
GGAUGGCUCAAUGGUAGAGCUUUCGACUCAAUUACCAAAGGCCGUGGGUUCGAAUCCCAGUUAGUCCA